AUUGAACGCUGGCGGCAUGCCUUACACAUGCAAGUCGAACGGUAACGCGGGGCAACCUGGCGACGAGUGGCGAACGGGUGAGUAAUGUAUCGGAACGUGCCCAGGUGUGGGGGAUAACUGCUCGAAAGAGCAGCUAAUACCGCAUACGACCUGAGGGUGAAAGCGGGGGAUCGCAAGACCUCGCGCAAUUGGCGCGGCCGAUAUCAGAUUAGGUAGUUGGUGGGGUAAAGGCACACCAAGCCAACGAUCUGUAGCUGGUCUGAGAGGACGACCAGCCACACGGGGACUGAGGCACGGCCCAGACUCCUACGGGAGGCAGCAGUGGGGAAUUUUGGACAAUGGACGCAAGUCUGAUCCAGCCAUGCCGCGUGCGGGAAGAAGGCCUUCGGGUUGUAAACCGCUUUUGUCAGGGAAGAAACGCUCUGGGUUAAUACCUCGGGGUAAUGACGGUACCUGAAGAAUAAGCACCGGCUAACUACGUGCCAGCCGCCGCGGUAAGAC
rnacentral:rRNA from 1 species